CGAAAACGCAACCGGGGAAAGGAUGAGUGGCCGUGGGGAAUCAAAAUGCGCAGGGUGGUUCUGGCGCGCUUCUUUUUAAAGGGCGGCAACGCCUUGGGGGGCUUCGGGUGACGCGGGUGUUCCCCUGGCGGGCGGGGCGUACGGCCCUGGGGCUGCGGCCCCGGCCUUUGGAAAGGAGGACCCCCCAGCGAUGGUUCUUUGCGGUUUUCUGUGCGGCAGGGUUGUGGGAAUGUUUGUUCCUCAUUGACACUGAACUUCGGUGUCAAAUCUUCAUCCGUGAAGUUGCCAGAUUACUCUUGCCGAGGUUUUGGUGAUAUGGCAUGCUCGGCUGCGUUUUUCUCCGCCUGUGUAAGCUGCGGGGUGGGUGCGUUGUCAUGGAUAUGGUGGGGGACGACCCGCUUCCCAUUGGCCGGACAAGUUGGUCGGCAAAGUUGCGCUGAUGGUAACGUGUGGUCGUGGUUUUUGGUGAUUGUGAUUGCUUCGUCUUCCCACGCUCUAAAGCCCAGUCGGACCCCCCCCCCCUUCUCGGGAAACGGGCUGAAGUUCACUGUGAAAGCGCGUUGCACAGAUGAAGAUCACAGGAGCUGGGUGUAAGUGGGUCCUAAAGUAUCGUGUUUUGCGUCUUCGUCAGCUGAAGCGAUGCCCUCUUCUUAGUUGGACUGCCUGUCGCGUUGCAUGCGUGAAGACUGACUUUGCGGUGGCGGUGUUUGUGUUUGUGUGUGUGUAGGGGGUCGGUCGUCUCCGCAGCUUAAGGGCCGAAAAGAAAGCGUCAAGGGUGAGGGGUGCCUUCAUGAAAAAGUGCACCCUCCCUCAAAGAGGCGAAGAUGGAAUAAUGGAGCCCUGCCGCAGCGCCGUUUUCACCGUUGAGGCGCGCAGCUUUCAUUAGACUGGACAGUGACGCUGUUUGGUUUGGCGGUGGUCAUGAGAGGUGGCCGAAAAGCUACGUGGCGCGACGCUUCGACCACUCCAUAGCGAGUACAUAGAUGACAUUUCCCACAGUGCACAGAGAUAAGCGUUGAUGAGCCAAACGCACUGGUGCAUAGGGCCAGUAGAGCGAGGAGGGUUUUCAGCUGCUGCGUUGAGACUUUGAGUGCCUGAUACAGCAUUAUGAGCUGCGAGCCAGGUGCUCGUAUUUUCUUGUGGAUUUCACAUUGAAACCAAUAAAAGUAAGGGGUCUCACCUCGCUUGCAGAGUUAAUCUUUCUAGUCAGAGAAAGCCACGUAAUCGAACAGUACUAAUUCCUCACCACGAGGAGCAGGUUCAUACCAUAUUCUCUGUCGUGAAAGCGUAUGCAAUGCUGCUCACCGAUUCAAAGAAACAUACAAAAAAAAACAGGUUAACUUUAUCUCUUCCUCUCGCACCAUGUUUUUAUUGCUUCAAG
rnacentral:misc_RNA from 1 species